GAUUGGACCCUGAAUAUCAAGCAAAGAUUUACCCCCCCUGAACUUUAACCAUAUCAAUAAGAGCGAGAGG
rnacentral:rRNA from 1 species